CAAUGUUCAAGUGCAAGUAUACAACUUUCUAAAGACCAUACUGAAGUAGCGUUGCAUCAACAAUUCCUAUAUCUUACAGGAGGUUUUAAACUGCUAUUGCUAACUGUUUUGUGAAUCCAUCUUUGCAGAUUGUAAAAACAGUGAACAUCAUCGAUGCCAAAAUCAGAGAUCGGAUGUUAAGGUGAGAAAUGUAAUACAUAACCUCCUCACCCAUCUAUGCCCAGUAUGAAGUUGCUAAUCAUCUUUCCAUGAGGCACGGUGCCCUUGGCCACGAUCUCCAGUCUAGAUAACUGUCAUGUGGAGCUGUAUGGCUAACUACCUUAUUUUUCUUGUUUAUUUCUUUUUAGGGGAACCCAAAGGGGUUUAAUUUUUAGUUUGGCGGUAUAAAUAUAAAUGGGUUGCUGAUAUGAUUUUGUUAUCCCUUUUUAUCUCCACCUUGGGACAUGAGGCUCUAUAAUAGCAAAUAUAUUUUGCUUUCUACUUAGAUGACAUCUAUUAAAUAUAAAUUUGUGUAAAAAACAAUUUUCUGCGAGGAGAGCCGGGGCGGCGGGGAUUGCGGCCUCGGCGCAGGGAGAGGAGAGCCGGGGUGGGGAGAUUGCUGCGAUGUCGGGCGGAGGCGUGGUGAAGCCGUGGUGGACGCUCUCGUUGCAUCCUUAUAGAGUAGUAGAUAUGGUGUCUGUGCGUUAUCUGUAUACCAUUGCAGUUUAGAAAUAUAUAAUACUUCAGUAUACCAUUGCAUAUAUUCAAUGACGUUAUUACUUGAUCAUGGCCUCAAUAACGUCAUUUCUGAAUUUGUAUCUAUCUAGAAAGUAAUCCAGAGCUUAUUCACCGCAUAGCAAAAAUCUGAGGUUUUAUACACGUCAACACUGGUAUAAUUCUUCUCUGCGACGACAACACUGGUAUAAUUGUUCUCCAAAUGGAUAUGGCUCAGCAGCACCAUAUUAGUAGCAGAGUUGUUUUUCAAAACCUGAGGUUUUAUGGCUUUGAAGAAUGUUUUGUGCUGAUAUCUAUUUUUUGGGAUAGAAAAUAAAAUAACACUGCUAUAAUUGUUCUCUUCCAAAUUAUGAUUCACAAUGCAUACACUGGUAUAAUUGUUCUCUUCAAGCUCCUGCUCCCAGCCUCACCAUUACUUUUUGUCUAUAUGCAUUAGUAGUAUCUCUAGAUACACUAAUUCGAUCUGAGACAGUUCCUUGUGACUUCGUGACUGAAGUGAGCAUCUUUCUUUUUGAUACAGUUGUAGAAAUAUCUUUAUUUGUCGGCUUUUAAUUUUUUUGGUUAAUAAAUAGAAAGGAAGAUAUAGCAAAAAAUAAAUUAUAAGCUCUGAAGGUCAAAAAGAUCAGCAUUCAGUCAUGAAUCUGCUCCAGGAUGGAUUAAAAUCAUUUUUUCUCCAAAUGCUUUCACUGGCGCAGAUCCUCGUGCUCCCCGCAGGGCGCUUCAUGGGUCCGCAGGGCUCAUGGGCCAAUCUCAUUCGAGGUGCUUCUCUAUCUUUAGGAGUUGUCCAGCAGAAAAGUACUGCCAUGGCUGCAAUGUGAACUUGUGACAUGAGCCUAUUGAACAGACGGAUGUAGGCAUCAAUGGCUUCCUAACCAAGAGUUUCCUGGUUACCAGCCAAACCAAUCCAGCGAAUGAGAUUGGCCUGUAACCAAGUCAUAUAGAUUUAGGUUAUUAAAAUUCCUAAGGAGCACUUAUUUUUUGUGAAUGUUUCUUGUUUUUUUAUCAGGAGCAUGUUGAGCUUGAGAAGAGAUACCGGGAGCUAACUGACUUGCUGUACCACAAGCAAACACAAUUAGAAUCCAUGGCCAGCGAAAAGGCCGGAUUGGAGUUCCAACUGGAGAAAUAAUUGAAACAAUUUCGUGAAGUGCAGGUCGAAGCAGAAAGGAGUAAAGCUACUCGCAGAUCAGCAUCGUCGUGGGAAGAAGAUACUAAUAUCAAGGUAUUAGAGUAUGUUAACUGUGUUGCACCUGAAAAUUGUGUUUUUCAUCAUUCUUGGAUUUCAUGAUAAUUGAUGUUAUCCGGUCUUAAAUGUACCCAUUUAUUUGCCAUACAUUCUUAGACAAAU